UGAAAUUAGAUACGCAAAAGGAAAGUGAGGAUAUGAUAGCACAACUGAAGGGUUGCAAGCCAAGGGCAGACCAACAACAUAUCUAGAGGAUGUUUUCAAGCAAAAUUCAUAUAAUCGUAAGAAACAAAAGUAUUUCCACAAGGGAGGGGCAAAACCAUUUCAUCCAACAUGCAAGGAAGGCUUGCAAGGAUAAGAUGAAGAAAAAGAAGGAUGGAGUUAAAGGAGAAAGUAUUCAAGAAGCACUUGAGGUAGUGAUGGUGAUCUUUCAAAUGACAAUGAUACAUGUGCUGAACUAAAGACCAUGACAUGGCUGAUGAUUUAUAUUAUGUAUUUUGUUGUUGGUUUCAAAUAUGCACAUAGUAUACCUGUUUUGUUACCGACUCAAUGCCUUGGAUCUUGUUAGCAUCUCAAUAUGUUUAGAGGUGU
rnacentral:sRNA from 1 species